GAAUUUAAGGCAAUGCUGUUAGUGUGAUGAAUAAUCUAGGGGACGGAAUGCUUCUUUCAACAGCAGCAACCAUUAGUCAGCCACCUUGGUAGCUUGCUAGACAUAAUAGCCGAACCAAUAAAGCUCUUUAGACGCUUUAGUGUAUAUUAGACACUGUGUUUUAAUCCAGCUUUAGUGUAUAUUAGACACUGUGUUUUAAUCCAACUUCUGUCGUCUAGUUAGUUGUCCGAUUUAAUUUCAUAUGUGCGGUGUUGUUGUUAUUAUUCCUUCCGUAAGGCUAUCAAACAAGCUAAGCGUCAGUAUAGAGACAAUGUAGAAUCUCAAUUCAACGGCUCAGACACAAGAGGUAUGUGGCAGGGUCUACAGUCAAUCACGGACUAUAAGAAUAAAUCCAGCUCAGUCACGGACCAGGAUGUCUUGCUCCCAGGCAGACUAAAUAACUUUUUUUGCCCGCUUUGAGGACAAUACAGUGCCACUGACACGGCCUGCAACGGAAACAUGCGGUCUCUCCUUCACUGCAGCCGAGGUGAGUAAAACAUUUAAACGUGUUAACCCUCGCAAGGCUGCAGGCCCAGACGGCAUCGCCAGCCGCGCCCUCAGAGCAUGCGCAGACCAGCUGGCUGGUGUGUUUAUGGACAUAUUCAAUCAAUCCCUAUACCAGUCUGCUGUUCCCACAUGCUUCAAGAGGGCCACCAUUGUUCCUGUUCCCAAGAAAGCUAAGGAGAGAGACAGAACUACCGUGGAUCCUCUGGGGAGCCUCAACAACAUCAUGAUGUUGACAGGUUAGAGAAGAGUCUCUCCACAUCAGAACACCUCAAGAAACACCGGUGUAGAUCCACAAGGAAGAGAUCUCACUGCUGUUCUGAUUGUGGGAAAUGUUUAAAAUCUUCAUCAGAACUUAAAAUACACCUGAGAAAUCACAGGGGAGAGAAACCUUACUGCUGUUCUAACUGUGGGAAGAGUUUUACUCUAUCAACCCGCCUGAUAUCACACCAGAGAACGCACACAGGAGAGAAUCCUUACAGCUGUGAUCAAUGUGGGAACAUUUGUACUAGUUCUGGCGAUCUUGUUGUACACCAGAGAACACACACCGGAGUUAAAUCUUAUAGCUGUGAUGACUGUGGGAAGAGUUUUGCUACAUCUAGCUAUCUGACUAUACACCAGCGGAGACACACAGGAGAGAACCCUUUUAGCUGUGUUCAAUGUGGGAAUAGAUACUCUGAUAAAAGUUAUCUGAUCAAACAUCAGAAAAUACAUUAAGGAGUUGUUUCAUGAUAUCAAUGAAAUCAUGUCACAAUGUAGAAUGUUUUAACAUUGUUGAAGGAGUAUUUUAAUGAUGUCACAAUGUAGAACCCUAAAGGUUUGCCCCCUGUUCUAUUGAUUUCAGCAUGAUAUGGAUAUUAGCCUCAGGGGGAAAUCCAGGCUCUGAAAUGGAAGAGUACUAUUUAUGUGAUUUAACAAAAAGUGACUAACACAAAUUUGUUACACUUACCACGUUGGUGACCCACUUGAAUCAAAAUGCAACACAUCAAAAUGUAGCUAGCUUUUUACCACGUUGGUGAUCCACUUGAAUCAAAAUGCAACACUUCAAAAUAUAGCUAGCUGUUUUCUACAAGUUGUUCUCUAACCAGUGAUGUACACAUUAUUCCCAGAUUCUGUGUGGUUUUUGAGCUGUUAGUUUUAACAGGACGUGCAACCUCAUCUCCCUCCUUUCGCACAGUUGAUUUCAACAUGAUAUCGAUGAGUGAUGACAAAUAAGUGUUGUGUUCCUUUGUUUAGCAAACCCUAAAAUUAAAUGCAUCACUCUAAAAUGUAGCUGACUGUCUUCUGCAGGUUGUCCUCUAACCAGUGAUGUGAAAUAUAUCUCCCAUUUCCAUUUGUUUUUUUAGUUGUGUUCGUUUCAACAUCACAUGCAACCUGAUUUUCCCCCCUAAUCGAUAUCAGUGAUUUAUUGCAACUUGUCAAAACAACAGCGUUUCUGGUGCUUGUGCAGUUCAUUAAGGUGCUUGUUUAAGAAAAAUUCAAGUAAUAUGAUUAUUGUGGCAGAUGUUUGUGUAUAUAGCACAUUUUAUGUUUAGGCUUUCAAUAUACCACAAACUGUUUCUGCAUAUUGGUUAUUGAGAAUGGAAUUUAUAUGUUUACGGUAUUGACUAAAGGAUUCCGCCCAGAAACGUAUAACUGUAAAGAAUUAACAGACUGUAAUUCUCUAAUGUGUGUGCAUAGGACACAUUAAGAUUUUACUAUUUAGCAAUUCAAGUGAGACAUUCAAGGAAAAGAGGAACUGUUAACAGACAACUUGUGACCACUGUGAAACUGAUAACAGGAAGGAGGUCUCCCCACCCAGGGAGGGGAGAAACCGUUAGGCUUGCAGUAGAUUAUGUAACAUGUUGCAGGAUAUGAUAAGCAAUGUAUGUGUUGGAGAAGACUUGUGAACAGCAUUGACAGUGUUUGCGAAGAGGGGCAUUUUAUAUGACCAAAUGUGAGGUCUAAAAGGCUAUGUGCUUGUAUGAUUUUCAGAGCUCUCUGAAUAAAGAACUUACCUUUUGCAGAAA